UCUCUCAGGGGCUGCGGUAGCCCUUUCAGUGGAGGAGAGAUAGACUUGGCUGUGAAGCCCAGACCACAGACUGCACCCAAGGUAUGUUCUUAGGCUCCGGAGAUAUAAGGACAAAUUGGAUAUGGUCUCUGCCUUUAAUAAACUUAGAGCCUAGCAAAGAAGACAGACAAAUGAACAAGCAUUAGCAGGCCUUACACAAAAUGCUAAUGAUGGCGGUUUGCCCAGGAUGCAGAAAAACAGCUGAUAGGCACCUCACGCAGACUUGGACAAGGUGAUCACUGAAAUGGAUCUGAAGUAGCAAAUGCUAUAGCAAGAAGAUGGUAAGACAGACGUCGCUCAUACAACCGAAAGCUCGGGUAUAACAUACACGGAUUAACAGCAUGAAUAUUCAGUUUUCUGCCUGGGGAAACAAUUUUCAUAGACUCUGAAGGCGAGAAAGGCGGACUGUAAACUUCACGGGGGACAGGGACCGUGUCAAUAUUGUUUACUGCUGUGUUCCCAGUACCCGGAACAUCACUGAUGCACAAAAUGGUUGAGUAAAUAACAAAACAAAUUUACAAGUCUUCAUCCUGUAUUUCCAACAAAUGAUUAUUCAGUCUCUGAAAAGUUCUAGUAACUGGAAAACCAUCUUUGCCACUUGUCAAAAUCAGUAAACCUCUGACACCAGUAAAUUAUGUAGCUUAAGUUUCAGAGUUAGCUAAUUACAAUGUGACGUCAAAACCACAUGUUCUAUAUUUGUAUUAGAUUAUAUCUCCAAUCUCGACUAAUAACCUUUGAGAUGCUACAUAGGAAUUUACUAAGAAUGUUAAUGUGAUUAUUAUAAACUAUCCUUGCUAUGAAAAUAUAUCUCAUAACAUGCUUCUGUAGGUUUAUAGGCUCGUCAACUGUGUUAUAAUCAUCCUGUAUUUUAAGUCCCACAGAGAAUUAUAAAUACAUGUCAGAUAAUGACCUUAUUAAAUAUAAAGGCUCUUAGUCAUUUUGAGCUCUCAAAGGAAAAUAGUAAAAUCCCCACUUAUGAGUUUUGUUUUCAUUUUGAUCAUGAUAUCCACAUAUUUUAUACAUACAAUAGUGCUAAUGCAUACAUAUGCUACACCGUUGACAUCCACUUCAAAUUCAAUGGGAUUUUAAAAAUUUUUUGUAAAAAUGGGGUCUGGCUAUAUUGCCAAGGCUGAUCUUCAACUC